AAUCAUUCAUAUAUAUCCAAACCACCAAAAAAAUCAUCAUUCCAUACCCAAAAUCAUCAUAACAAUGUAUAAUUAACUAACUUUACAAAAGACGGAACACAAAAAUACAUACAUGCCAAAAAUAGAGAAACAACAUGUUGAGCAUAACCCUUUACUUUACAGCUUACACCAAGUAUAUUCUUUACAGCUUACACCAAGCAUCCUUCAAUAUAUAC
rnacentral:lncRNA from 1 species